UUUCCUCCUUCCUCAAUGUUUCCUCCUCACACAUCAGAGCUUCUAGGUCAGUGCUGUCACCACAGGCAGAUCAGUUGAAGAAGAUAAGACUUUGCCCAUGUUUUCCUACUGGGCUCUUAUGGCCUUCCUGGCUCCUACAGGCUGGUCUCUUCAGCAAACCCCAGACUCAGUUGUCCGACUGGGAGACUCUCUGACUCUGAACUGUUCGCACAAGGAGAGUGGAGUCUGGACCAUGUUCUGGUACAAGCUGCCAGUGGGGAAGAACGCCACUUUGAAGCUGGUUGUACGUUCAGUGGAGGGAACCAAGGCAGAUUUUGAGGAGGAAUUCAAAAGCCGCUUCCAGAGUAGUGGGACUAAGGCGAACUCCUUAUCGGUGACGAUAGAUCAUGUCCUACUCAAUGACUCGGGCACUUAUUUCUGCGCUAAGCAAGAUACACUUGUGACUAAUGAAAGAUUGUUCUUUGGUACUGGGACAAAACUCACAGUACUAGGGAAGAAGAGUGAAAUCAUACCACCGACUGUGGCCAUCUUUUCACCGUCAAAGCAGGAGAUUCAACAGAAGAAUAAGGCCACUCUGGUAUGCCUGGCUUCCGGUUUCUACCCUGAUCACCUCAGUUUAGUCUGGAAGGUGAAUGGCAACAAGAGGACAGAAGGAGUGGGAACAGAUGAGAUUUCCACAUCAAAUGGGAGCACUUACACAUUGACCAGCAGACUGAGAAUCUCAGCCCAAGAGUGGUUCAACCCUUUGAACCGUUUUGAGUGUAUUGCUGAAUUUUUUCAAGAUGGACAGAAAUCAAUACGUAAAUUAAUCCACGGUGAUACUGGAUGUAUGCUUACUAAAGAGUCCUACUUGCAUUAUGGAAAUUCUAUGAAGCUCACUUACCUCAUUCUGUGUGGCAAAGCCUUCCUCUAUGCAAUUUUGGUGUGCGCUCUGAUGUGGAAAGUCAAGGCUGGUAGCAAGCCAUAUAAAGAAUAAAUGAAUAAUCUCCUCCAUCACAUCAACAGGAAAACAACAAAUUCCACGUUUUUCUUUUCUGCAGUAGAGUCCAAGCUUCUAAUGUCUUCUUUCUUGAUGGUCCUCUGUUCUCUCCUGUUCUUUCAGCUUUGUUUUAAUCACUGCCAGAUUUCCCAUGGACAUGCAGGGUAAUUUCUGUCCUAGCUUUAAAACACCUCUUUACUGCUCAGAGGUGUCAGUUUCUUAAAUUAGGAAUAAAGUUUGUGUCACUCCA